AAAGGAAUAGACGGGGGCCCGCACAAGCAGCGGAGCGUGUGGUUUAAUUCGAAGCAACGCGAAGAACCUUACCAAGGCUUGACAUCCCUCGCUAUCCUAGGAAACUAGGAGUUCCCUUCGGGGACGAGGAGACAGGUGGUGCACGGUUGUCGUCAGCUCGUGUCGUGAGAUGUUGGGUUAAGUCCCGCAACGAGCGCAACCCUUGUACUUAGUUGCCAGCAUUAAGUUGGGCACUCUAAGUAGACUGCCGGUGACAAACCGGAGGAAGGUGGGGAUGACGUCAAAUCAUCAUGCCCCUUAUGUCUUGGGCUACACACGCGCUACAAUGGUCUGUACAAAGGGAAGCGAAGUCGCGAGGCAGAGCGGAUCCCAUAAAACAGAUCUCAGUUCAGAUUGCAGGCUGCAACUCGCCUGCAUGAAGUAGGAGUUGCUAGUAAUCGCGGAUCAGCACGCCGCGGUGAAUGCGUUCCCGGGCCUUGUACACACCGCCCGU
rnacentral:rRNA from 1 species